GGGGAUGACUGGAUUUGACAGCAAGAUGGAGUGGUAUGUAAGCAUGCAGAGAGUCGAUGCCCCUCUCUUUAAUCUCAGACAUCAAAAGUUUAAUUGGCGAAAAAUCUUACGCUCUCGCUGCUUAAUCGAAGUAUAGUAGAUAAGCCUAAUUCCCUUGCAAGGCGAGGGAACGAGACAUCGCCCGGGAAGCUCCCGUCCUGAAGCGUUCCGACCAGCGGUGCUGUAAAAUCAGGAAUAGCCAGCAGUUGCCUCGUCCUGCUGGUGAACUUUUAGAGGCUAAGGAUGCAGUUGGUGGUCUUGGUCUUGCUGCAUCACGAAAACCGAAGGCAAGAAUAAGCAUGUAGAAAGCGUAUGGCUUCCUUGUUUGGACGAGGGUUCAAUCCCCUCCAUCUCCACAA
rnacentral:tmRNA from 1 species